CGGGCCCUGAAUCAAGACCAGUGGCCUGCUGUGGCCAUUGGUUUCAAGCAGGAGCCUAAAGAAAGCAACGGCUCCCUGUGGUCUGUGGCUACUUGAGACCCCCCCCAGCAGGGAGUGGCCUGUUCAACUGGGAGAAACGGUG